ACGCUCGACACCUACGGGAGGCAGCAGUUGGGAAUAUUGGACAAUGGAGGGAAACUCUGAUCCAGUGACGCCGCGUGAAGGAAGAAGGUCUUCGGAUUGUAAACUUAUUUUGUCAGGGAAGAAAAAAAUAGACUGUACCUGAAGAAAAAGACACCGGCUAACUACGUGCCAACAGCCGCGGUAAUCUGAGCGGGCGUGGCAAGGC
rnacentral:rRNA from 1 species